AUACUUACCUGGAGGGGAGGGGAGAUAUCAUGAUCAUGAAGGUGGUUUUCCCAGGGCGAGGCUCAUCCAUCACACUGCAGAUGUGCUGCCCCCUGAGAUUUCCCCACAUGCGGGAAACGCAACUGAAUAGUUUGUGGUAAUGGGGACUGCACUACUGCUUUCCCCU